rnacentral:rRNA from 2 species
GACGAACCGUGCGAACGUUGUUCGGAAUCACUGGGCUUAAAGGGCGCGUAGGCGGGCCGCAAAGUCUGUGGUGAAAUCCUCCAGCUUAACUGGAGAACUGCCUCGGAUACUGGCGGUCUCGAGGAUGGUAGGGGCGUGCGGAACAGUUGGUGGAGCGGUGAAAUGCGUUGAUAUCAACUGGAACUCCGGUGGCGAAGGCGGCACGCUGGACCAUGUCUGACGCUGAGGCGCGAAAGCCAGGGGAGCAAACGGG